rnacentral:lncRNA from 1 species
AUCUGUAGAGUGGCUCACUGGAUCUUCUCUGUGCUCUGAAACUUUUCUGAAUGUUUUCUUCUUGGCCUUCUCGUCUCUCAGCUUAACUACCAUCUUUAAUGACAUUCUCAUCUUUGUUGAGUGAAACUUUAGUCUAUUUAAGUCCUUCUUCAAAUCUACUUCACUUCCACCUUUGUAGUCUCACUCUCACUGAGACUUGUUCCGUUUAGCUCUGUUGGAACUCAUAGAGUCAACACUAUAGCAUUCCAAUAACUCAACGAUCCUUCAACUUUAGUAACACUUGAUCUUUGAAGCUCUGGCUAAUAUAUACUCCUUCCCAAUCUUCCAUUGGAAUAUAGCCGUUGAAAGCUAUUUGAAUUGCUUCGUAGAUCUCGAUUUAUUUGGUGCAGAUUGCUUGAUGUGAUGUGACAGCUCCUUUAUGACUUUUACUGACACAGUAGUCUACUACCUUACCUACUGCCUUAGAGUUGUCAUCUUUCCGUGUCAGGCAGGUAGUCAUCUUUAUUUCUUUUUUCUGACUUCUCGAUUAGAACAUCAGAAGUUGUCCUUUUGCAUUGAUGCUCUCAAUUAGCAGUAUUCAAAUAUCAGUCUUCAGAUUGAACCAUUGCCAAUGCUUCAAUCUUCAGAUGAUCGAACUCUACUAUUC